CGGCCGCAAGGUUAAAACUCAAACGAAUUGACGGGACCCCGCACAAGCAGCGGAGCGUGUGGUUUAAUUCGAUGCUACACGAAGAACCUUACCUGGGUUUGACAUCUAGGUGGUAGUGAAGCGAAAGCGGAGSGACCCUUCGGGGAGCCUAGACAGGUGCUGCAUGGCUGUCGUCAGCUCGUGCCGUGAGGUGUCGGGUUAAGUCCCGUAACGAGCGCAACCCUUGCCCUCCGUUANAMGUGUCANAGGGGACUGCCGGCGGUAAGCCGGAGGAAGGUGGGGAUGACGUCAAGUCAGCAUGGCCUUUAUAUCCAGGGCUACACACACGCUACAAUGGCCAGUACAAAGGGCAGCGAAGCCGCGAGGUGGAGCGAAUCCCAGCAAAGCUGGUCGUAGUUCGGAUUGCAGGCUGC
rnacentral:rRNA from 1 species